CAGUGGGGAAUAUUGCACAAUGGGGGAAACCCUGAUGCAGCAACGCCGCGUGAGCGAAGAAGGCCUUCGGGUCGUAAAGCUCUGUCCUAUGGGAAGAAGCAGUGACGGUACCAUAGGAGGAAGCCCCGGCUAACUACGUGCCAGCAGCCGCGGUAAUACGUAGGGGGCAAGCGUUAUCCGGAAUCACUGGGCGUAAAGGGUGCGUAGGCGGCUAAAUAAGUCAGGGGUGAAAGGCUACGGCUCAACCGUAGUAAGCCUUUGAAACUGUUUAGCUUGAGUGCAGGAGAGGUAAGUGGAAUUCCUAGUGUAGCGGUGAAAUGCGUAGAUAUUAGGAGGAACACCAGUGGCGAAGGCGACUUACUGGACUGUAACUGACGCUGAGGCACGAAAGCGUGGGGAGCGAACMAGGAUUAGAUACCCUGGGAGUCCACGCCGUAAACGAUGAGUGCGAGGUGUUGGGGGGUCAAACCUCAGUGCCGGAGCUAACGC
rnacentral:rRNA from 1 species